rfam:Vigna angularis cultivar Jingnong 6 scaffold145_15, whole genome shotgun sequence.
GAGAGCCGUGUGAUGGGUGACUAUCCAGCACGGUUCAGAGAGCACUUUAAGUAUGCGUAGGUGAAUGGAAGCCCCUCUUGAAAGCAAGAAAGAAGCGGUUAUUCCCACGGCGGAGUCACCAUUGACUCUAU